GAUGAACGCUGGCGGCGUGCUUAACACAUGCAAGUCGAACGAGAAGUGAAGACGGAAACCUUCGGGCGGAAGGCUUUAUUUCGAGUGGCGGACGGGUGAGUAACGCGUGGGUAACCUGCCUCAUACAGGGGGAUAACAGUUGGAAACGACUGUUAAUACCGCAUAAGACCACAGCACCGCAUGGUGCGGGGGUAAAAACUCCGGUGGUAUGAGAUGGACCCGCGUUCGAUUAGCCAGUUGGCGGGGUAACGGCCCACCAAAGCGACGAUCGAUAGCCGAUCUGAGAGGAUGACCGGCCACAUUGGGACUGAGACACGGCCCAAACUCCGACGGGAGGCAGCAGUGGGGAAUAUUGCACAAUGGGGGAAACCCUGAUGCAGCGACGCCGCGUGAGUGAAGAAGUAUUUCGGUAUGUAAAGCUCUAUCAGCAGGGAAGAAAAUGACGGUACCUGAGUAAGAAGCCCCGGCUAACUACGUG
rnacentral:rRNA from 1 species